rnacentral:rRNA from 1 species
GAAGACUUUAGCUUGCUAGAGUUGGAAGAGUUGCGAACGGGUGAGUAACGCGUAGGUAACCUGCCUAUUAGUGGGGGAUAACUAUUGGAAACGAUAGCUAAUACCGCAUAAUAGUGUUUAACACAUGUUAGAGACUUAAAAGAUGCAAUUGCAUCACUAGUAGAUGGACCUGCGUUGUAUUAGCUAGUUGGUGGGGUAACGGCCUACCAAGGCGACGAUACAUAGCCGACCUGAGAGGGUGAUCGGCCACACUGGGACUGAGACACGGCCCAGACUCCUACGGGAGGCAGCAGUAGGGAAUCUUCGGCAAUGGGGGCAACCCUGACCGAGCAACGCCGCGUGAGUGAAGAAGGUUUUCGGAUCGUAAAGCUCUGUUGUAAGAGAAGAACGUGUGUGAGAGUGGAAAGUUCACACAGUGACGGUAACUUACCAGAAAGGGACGGCUAACUACGUGCCAGCAGCCGCGGUAAUACGUAGGUCCCGAGCGUUGUCCGGAUUUAUUGGGCGUAAAGCGAGCGCAGGCGGUUUAAUAAGUCUGAAGUUAAAGGCAGUGGCUUAACCAUUGUUCGCUUUGGAAACUGUUAAACUUGAGUGCAGAAGGGGAGAGUGGAAUUCCAUGUGUAGCGGUGAAAUGCGUAGAUAUAUGGAGGAACACCGGUGGA